rnacentral:tRNA from 1 species
GCCGGGGUGGCGGAAUGGUAGACGCGGUGGUCUCAAACACCAUUGGGGUUAAACCCGUGCGGGUUCGAGUCCCGCCCCCGGCACCA